GACGAACGCUGGCGGCGUGCUUAACACAUGCAAGUCGAACGAAGUGGCGAACGGGUGAGUAACGCGUAAUCAACCUGCCCUUCAGAGGGGGACAACAGUUGGCAACGACUGCUAAUACCGCAUACUGAAGGAGGGGAUUGCGUCUGCUUCGGUAGUUGGCGGGGGAACGGCCCACCAAGGCGAUGAUCAGGAGCCGGUCUGAAGGGAUGAACCGCCACAUUUGGACUGGGAAAAGGCCCAGGCCCCUACGGGAGGCAGCAGUGGGGAAUCUUCCGAAAGGGACGAAAGGCUUACGGAGCAACGCCGGGGGAGUGAUGACGGCCUUCGGGUUGUAAAGCUCUUUUAAUCGGGACGCGGUACCGGAAUAGAAAGCCACGGCUAACUACGUGCCAGCAGCCGCGGUAAUUC
rnacentral:rRNA from 1 species